UACGUAGGGGCCUAGCGUUGUCCGGAAUUAUUGGGCGUAAAGAGCUCGUAGGCGGUUUGGUAAGUCGGGUGUGAAAUCUCCACGCUCAACGUGGAGGGGCCACUCGAUACUGCCAUGACUCGAGUCCGGUAGAGGAGUGUGGAAUUCCCGGUGUAGCGGUGAAAUGCGCAGAUAUCGGGAGGAACACCUGUAGCGAAGGCGGCACUCUGGGCCGGAACUGACGCUGAGGAGCGAAAGCGUGGGGAGCAAACAGG
rnacentral:rRNA from 1 species